GAUGAACGCUGGCGGCGUGCUUAACACAUGCAAGUCGAACGGAAAGGCUCCUGCCUGCAGGGGUACUCGAGUGGCGAACGGGUGAGUAACACGUGGGUGAUCUGCCCUGUACUUCGGGAUAAGCUUGGGAAACUGGGUCUAAUACCGGAUAUGACAAUCUCUUGGAUGGGGUUGUGGAAAGCUUUUGCGGUAUGGGAUGAGCUCGCGGCCUAUCAGCUUGUUGGUGGGGUAAUGGCCUACCAAGGCGUCGACGGGUAGCCGGCCUGAGAGGGUGUACGGCCACAUUGGGACUGAGAUACGGCCCAGACUCCUACGGGAGGCAGCAGUGGGGAAUAUUGCACAAUGGGCGCAAGCCUGAUGCAGCGACGCCGCGUGGGGGAUGACGGCCUUCGGGUUGUAAACUCCUUUCGCAACCGACGAAGCUUUUGUGACGGUAGGUUGAGAAGAAGCACCGGCUAACUACGUG
rnacentral:rRNA from 1 species